rnacentral:rRNA from 1 species
AUUGAACGCUGGCGGCAGGCCUAACACAUGCAAGUCGAGCGGAUGAAGGGAGCUUGCUCCUGGAUUCAGCGGCGGACGGGUGAGUAAUGCCUAGGAAUCUGCCUGGUAGUGGGGGAUAACGUCCGGAAACGGGCGCUAAUACCGCAUACGUCCUGAGGGAGAAAGUGGGGGAUCUUCGGACCUCACGCUAUCAGAUGAGCCUAGGUCGGAUUAGCUAGUUGGUGGGGUAAAGGCCUACCAAGGCGACGAUCCGUAACUGGUCUGAGAGGAUGAUCAGUCACACUGGAACUGAGACACGGUCCAGACUCCUACGGGAGGCAGCAGUGGGGAAUAUUGGACCAUGGGCGAAAGCCUGAUCCAGCCAUGCCGCGUGUGUGAAGAAGGUCUUCGGAUUGUAAAGCACUUUAAGUUGGGAGGAAGGGCAGUAAGGUAAUACCUUGCUGUUUUGACGUUACCAACAGAAUAAGCACCGGCUAACUUCGUG